UACAGAGGGGGCAAGCGUUGUUCGGAAUUACUGGGCGUAAAGGGCGCGUAGGCGGCCUUCUAAGUCAGACGUGAAAUCCCCGGGCUCAACCCGGGAACUGCGUCUGAGACUGGAAGGCUCGAAUCCGGGAGAGGGAUGCGGAAUUCCAGGUGUAGCGGUGAAAUGCGUAGAUAUCUGGAGGAACACCGGUGGCGAAGGCGGCAUCCUGGACCGGCAUUGACGCUGAGGCGCGAAAGCUAGGGGAGCAAACGGG
rnacentral:rRNA from 1 species